rnacentral:rRNA from 1 species
GCAAUGGGCGAAAGCCUGACCCAGCAACGCCGCGUGAGGGAUGAAGUAUUUCGGUAUGUAAACCUCGAAAGAAUGGGAAGAAUAAAUGACGGUACCAUUUAUAAGCUCCGGCUAACUACGUGCCAGCAGCCGCGGUAAUACGUAGGGAGCAAGCGUUGUUCGGAUUUACUGGGCGUAAAGGGCGCGUAGGCGGCGCGGUAAGUCACUUGUAAAGUCACUGAGCUUAACUCAGAACGGCCAAGUGAUACUGCUGUGGUAUAGGGCGGAAGAGGCGACCGGAAUACUUGGUGGAGCGGUGAAAUGCGUAGAUAUCAAGAGGAACACCGGAGGCGAAGGCGGGUUGCUGGGCCGACACUGACGCUGAUGCGCGAAAGCCAAGGGAGCAAAC